rnacentral:rRNA from 1 species
UACAGGGGGGGCAAGCGUUGUUCGGAAUUACUGGGCGUAAAGGGCUCGUAGGCGGCCAACUAAGUCACACGUGAAAUCCCCAGGCUUAACCUGGGAACUGCGUGUGAUACUGGAUGGCUUGAAUUCGGGAGAGGGAUGCAGAAUUCCAGGUGUAGCGGUGAAAUGCGUAGAUAUCUGGAGGAAUACCGGUGGCGAAGGCGGCAUCCUGGACCGACAUUGACGCUUAGGAGCGAAAGCUAGGGGAGCAAACGGG